rnacentral:tRNA from 1 species
GCGCCCGUGGUCUAACGGAUAAGGCACGAGCCUUCGAAGCUCGCAGAUGGGGGUUCGAUUCCCUCCGGGCGCG